rnacentral:rRNA from 2 species
UGGGGAAUAUUGCACAAUGGAGGGAACUCUGAUGCAGCGACGCCGCGUGAACGAAGAAGGCUUUCGAGUCGUAAAGUUCUUUUAUAUGGGAAGAUAAUGACGGUACCAUAAGAAAAAGCCCCGGCUAACUACGUGCCAGCAGCCGCGGUAAUACGAAGGGGGCUAGCGUUGUCCGGAAUCACUGGGCGUAAAGGGUUCGCAGGCGGAAAUGCAAGUCAGGUGUAAAAGGCAGUAGCUUAACUACUGUAAGCAUUUGAAACUGCAUAUCUUGAGAAGAGUAGAGGUAAGUGGAAUUUUUAGUGUAGCGGUGAAAUGCGUAGAUAUUAAAAAGAAUACCGGUGGCGAAGGCGACUUACUGGGCUCAUUCUGACGCUGAGGAACGAAAGCGUGGGUAGCAAACAGG